rnacentral:lncRNA from 1 species
GACUCUUCUGUUUCACUCUCAUCAGACCAAGUGGCAGCAAGACUCAUCUUCUGUUUCUUGAGGUAGGUUCCACAUUCAGUUCUAAUGUGUCCAUACCCAUCACAUUCAUGGCACUGUACUAUCAGACCAAGUGGCAGCAAGACUCAUCUUCUGUUUCUUGAGGUAGGUUCCACAUUCAGUUCUAAUGUGUCCAUACCCAUCACAUUCAUGGCACUG